ACAUUUUUUAUUUUCAACAAUUCAAGAUUCUUGUUUAAAGGGACAUUUCAGAAUGUCCUUGUUUUCCCUUAAGCUUUACUUGAUCAGUGAUUAUUUGUUUGGCUUCCUGCAAGAUAAAGAAGUAAGAAAGAGAUAAAAGGUGUGAUCCUUGUUUACAUACAAGAAUUUUCAUGGCAGCAUUGUUCAUUAUAGUGAGAAAAUGAAAAUAACUAAAAUAUCCAAUAAUAAAGGGUUAAAUAGAUUGUAGAACAUUCAUACUUCAGAGCUAUUAAAAAUUGUGCUUUUAGAGAAACAUUUAAUGGCAUAGAAAAACAUUCACAAGAAAAUUAUGGCAACCUAAAUGAGAAGGGGGGUCAUUCUAGAGAGAAAACAGAAAAGAAGAGAGAAAGAGGAGAGAAGGGGGAGUCGUGAAAGGUAGGUAGAAGAAUUUAGAUUUGAUCAAGUAGUUCAGUAGGAAGGACUGUCAGUUCCACAGUAAGAAACUAGUGGAAUGAAAGGGGGUUUGUAUGUAUGUAUAGGUGAACUGGAAGUAAGAAAGACUGGAAGUAUAGACCCCAGGCAGGAGGUUGCUGCAGUAACAGAGGCCUGUGGUGGUAAAGACCUGGGCUAUACUAGUGUAGACAGAGGGAUGGUGAUGAAGGUGGUAAGAUGUUAACACAGUACAUAAGCGAUG
rnacentral:lncRNA from 1 species